rnacentral:lncRNA from 1 species
CCAAAUCUACCAUUUUCCUCCCCAUAAACUACCUUGGUGGGCUAUUGCACCUAGAAACCCUCUCCAUUUAAUUUUUUUUUCUCCUUUUUGCUCUCCUCCUCUCUUUUAGCCACCCUUCCUCAUUGCUCUUCCUAUUUUCUCCUAUUUUAUUUUUUUCACCUCCCUUUCUUUUGUUUUCUCCUCUACUCCUCCACCACUAAAGGCCACCGAACCUUCACCUCAUCACCACCGAAACACUGCCUCUUCUCCUCUGCGUCGCUGUCGUCAACCAGUGCCAAAUUUUUUUAUUUCUCUUAUUUUCUUCCUCUCUUUCUG